AUUGAACGCUGGCGGCAGGCCUAACACAUGCAAGUCGAGCGGUAGAGAGAAGCUUGCUUCUCUUGAGAGCGGCGGACGGGUGAGUAAUGCCUAGGAAUCUGCCUGGUAGUGGGGGGAUAACGUUCGGAAACGGACGCUAAUACCGCAUACGUCCUACGGGAGAAAGCAGGGGACCUUCGGGCCUUGCGCUAUCAGAUGAGCCUAGGUCGGAUUAGCUAGUUGGUGAGGUAAUGGCUCACCAAGGCGACGAUCCGUAACUGGUCUGAGAGGAUGAUCAGUCACACUGGAACUGAGACACGGUCCAGACUCCUACGGGAGGCAGCAGUGGGGAAUAUUGGACAAUGGGCGAAAGCCUGAUCCAGCCAUGCCGCGUGUGUGAAGAAGGUCUUCGGAUUGUAAAGCAC
rnacentral:rRNA from 1 species